rnacentral:rRNA from 1 species
AUACGUAGGGGGCGAGCGUUAUCCGGAAUUACUGGGCGUAAAGGGUGCGUAGGCGGCCUUUUAAGUCAGAUGUGAAAGGCUACGGCUUAACCGUAGUAAGCAUUUGAAACUAAGAGGCUUGAGUGCAGGAGAGGAGAGUGGAAUUCCUAGUGUAGCGGUGAAAUGCGUAGAUAUUAGGAGGAAUACCAGUGGCGAAGGCGACUCUCUGGACUGUAACUGACGCUGAGGCACGAAAGCGUGGGGAGCAAACAGGAUUAGAUACCCUGGUAGUCCACGCCGUAAACGAUGAGUGCUAGGUGUUGGUGGAGACAUCCAUCAGUGCCGCAGCUAACGCAUUAAGCACUCCGCCUGGGGAGUACGGUCGCAAGACUGAA